rnacentral:misc_RNA from 1 species
UACGUAGGUGGCAAGCGUUGUCAGGAAUUAUUGGGCGUAAAGCGCGCGCAGGCGGUCUUUUAAGACUGAUGUGAAAGCCCCCGGCUCAACCGGGGAGGGUCAUUGGAAACUGGCAGACUUGAGUGCAGAAGAGGAGCGUGGAAUUCCAUGUGUAGAGGUGAAAUGCGGAGAGAUAUGGAGGAACACCAGUGGCGAAGGCGGCUCUCUGGUCUGCAACUGACGCUGAGGUGCGAAAGCGUGGGGAUCAAACAGG